rnacentral:rRNA from 1 species
GGAGGGGGCCAGCGUUGCUCGGAAUCACUGGGCGUAAAGGGCUCGUAGGCGGUCUGAUAAGUCCUGUGUGAAAUCCCUUGGCUUAACCAAGGAACUGCGCCGGAUACUGUCGGACUAGAGGCCGGGAGAGGGAAGCGGAAUUCCGAGUGUAGCGGUGAAAUGCGUAGAUAUUCGGAGGAACACCGGUGGCGAAGGCGGCUUCCUGGACCGGUUCUGACGCUGAGGGGCGAAAGCUAGGGUAGCAAACAGGAUUAGAUACCCUGGUAGUCCUAGCUGUAAACGAUGGGCGCUUGGUGUUGCGGGUAUCGACCCCUGCAGUGCCGAAGCUAACGCAUUAAGCGCCCCGCCUGGGGAGUACGGUCGCAAGGCUG